rnacentral:misc_RNA from 1 species
GAUGAAGAACGUAGUGAAAUGCGAUACGUAAUGUGAAUUGCAGAAUUCAGUGAAUCAUCGAAUCUUUGAACGCAUAUUGCGCUCUCUGGUAUUCCGGAGAGCAUGCUUGUUUGAGUAUCAGUAAACACCUCAACUCCCUUUCUUCUUGAAAUGGAGCUGGACUUGAGUGAUCCCAACGCUUUAUUCAUAAAGUGGCGGGUUACUUGAAAUGCAGGUGCAGCUGGACUUUUCUCUGAGCUAUAAGCAUAUCUAUUUAGUCUGCCUCAAAACAGAUUAUUACCUUUGCUGCAGCUAACAUAAAGGAGAUUAGUUCUUGUGCUGACUAAUGCAGGAUUCACAAAGACCGCUUCGGCUGUCUUUGUAAACUCGAUCUCAAAUCAAGUAAGACUACCCGCUGAACUUAAGCAUAUCAAUAAGCGGAGGA